UUAUGAUCACACACACACAAGACAGCAAGACAGCCAUUCCUAUCCUCAACAGCUACAGGAGCCAGAGCAGAGAGACAAAAUCUUUUUAUUACUUUGUUUUCCCCUGCUAUUCUUCAAUAUGGGCAUCUUUUGACAUCUUUUGCCAAACAGUGGAUUCAAAGCAUAUUGUGGACACAGUAGGCCUAUAUUGAUGUGAGACCAUGCAGAAAAUGCUACUUUCUCUCAACCUCCUGGAUCAGCAUUCAGCAGCCUCGUGACACAGUUGAAGCCAUUAUCGAAUUCUUUGCGUGUAUGUACCCUGGAUCAAGCAGCACUUGCAUUAUACAGGAGAUUCCACCCAAAAUCUAAACCAUGAGUCCAAGCUGAAGAGGAAUAUUUCCAAAAUGAGGUCUACACACACACAGAGGUUACUUUCCCCUUCAUUAUAGAGAUAUCGAGAGAGAGAGAUGGGUGGGGGGGGGGGGUGAGUUAUAGCCACGAACCUGAAUAGCUUAGAUGUAGAACUGAGAUGCCCAUUCAUGUCACUUGCCAUUUUAAUGAAUUCCAGGGUUUACAAACAUCCAUAUUAACACUUUGGGUAAAAGAUCUCUGUAUUUGCAUAAAUUUGUUAUUACUAUUUAUGAAGUAGACCUGUUUCAUAAUGCUUAUGUAGUAGAUCAGUCUCAUACUCGACCCCACCCCCUUCAUAUCACAAUGUCAAUUCCUAAAACCUGUGGCAAAUUAUAUAAGUUGGUAAUAGAGAAAAAUUGAAUGAGUUAGAGUCAAUAAAAAUCUAUUCCAAUCUUAAGCACUUAAGACUUUAUUCAGGUAUGGCACGUGAACCGCCCAAAAAAUUCCAAAAAUGCUGCAGUUUUGUUUUAUGUUUAAAGUGAACGGUAACAAAGGACCUACAUGUUUUUGUAUAUUUUGGACUGCGCAUAUUCAGUGAUCUCUGUAUUAUAAUAUAUAGAAAUGUAAAGCAUAUAGAACUUUAUGUCAACUCCAGCAUCAUAUCUGAACGAGCCUUAAAAGACAAUCCAACCCUUGUAAUAAGUUCAUUGAAAUGGAAGCUGAAAAA